rnacentral:misc_RNA from 1 species
GAUGAAGAACGUAGCAAAAUGCGAUAAGUAAUGUGAAUUGCAGAAUUCAGUGAAUCAUCGAAUCUUUGAACGCACAUUGCGCCCGCCAGUAUUCUGGCGGGCAUGCCUGUUCGAGCGUCAUUUCAACCCUCAAGCACAGCUUGGUGUUGGGCCCCGCCGCCCCGGCGGGCCCUAAAGUCAGUGGCGGUGCCGUCCGGCUCCGAGCGUAGUAAUUCUUCUCGCUCUGGAGGUCCGGUCGUGUGCUCGCCAGCAACCCCCAAUUUUUUUCAGGUUGACCUCGGAUCAGGUAGGGAUACCCGCUGAACUUAAGCAUAUCAAUAAGCGGAGGA